CUGGGGCUUCGCUCUCUGCAACUCAGUUUUCCUGUUUAGAAAAUAGGAUGGCUGCAUGGUAACAAAUUUCUCCAACUGCUUUUCAUGUGGUUUCCUCAUCCCUGUGACCAGGAAGUCUGCAUAUGUGCCAGGUGAUGGGUACAGAGUCAUGCAGCAGGCCCAUGGGCCCCAGGGCUUCUCACUCUUAACCCAAGUGGGUGCCAGAGAAAAAUCUCAUCUCAACGAGAGGAGGCACAGACACCAGGCUGCCAGGGCCGUGCACCACAGGUCAGAUCAUCCAGGAUCUCCUGCGAGCUGUUCUCAAGUCUCUGUGACACACAACCAGAACAGCAGCCACUCCCUCAAGAGAGUUUACAAUUAAGCCAAUCAGACCUUUAAACAAAAUGUCCUCUUUUCCACAGUGUGUCCGUCCUGUUUACCUUCAGUUUGGAGAGCUGUUCUGACCUUUCUUAAUGAAAUGGGUCACUCCCCUUCUUCAGCAAAUAAUAAACUCAGUGUCUGCUUUAGACAGCUUUGGCGCCGUUUGUGUUCUGCUGUGGCAUGAACCUCUCUUUAGUCAUCGCUGUGGCCAGUGGAUAGCCACUCCUUUCUGAAGGCUGUCCCUGAAUUCCUCCUUCCUGUCUGUUUAUUGGUGAUGGGGCAGGGGGUGGUCAGGGGUCCCAAGCCUCCCGGGCGAAGGCCAAAGCCCUGCUUUCUUUACUUUCGCAGCAAUAAAGAUAAACGUUUAUUGAACACUAACUACAUUCCUGACAUGGUGCUUAGUGCAUUACCCAAUAUUAUCCCCAUUAUACAGAUUGAGAAAUUGAGAUUUGGAGAGGUGAAUUUGCCCAAAGUCUCAUAGCUAGCAAGUAAGAAUAUUGAGGUUUCAAACUUGGGGCUGUCUGAUUUCAGAGCCCAAGCUUGUCACCACCAUGCUCAUGGGGCAAUGGUCAGGAGAAAGCCAGGUUUCCAGGAAACUUCUAAAUGGCCACAGUGAAGAAUGACCCUCUUACAUCCUGCUGAUUGGAUGACCAGCCUUGAUGCGAUCUUUAGCAUCACAGUGGAAGCGGGGCCAGAAAAGGAGGAGGGCAGUUUCCUGUGUUGCUCAGGACUUGCCUCAUCUUGCCCACAAUUUUCUGGGGCUGACAUAUAUUUUUCCAGUAGGUGUGUUGGAUGGAACCGUGUCCUCAGCAGACAGGAGCUCCUCCUUCUGAGCAAGACUCCCUUAUGUCUUGGAGUAGGAAGUCCUCUCAUGAAUAGUCCAAGCUUCAGACAGAGAAAGAGCAGGAGCCAUUCAUUUACUCCCCUCAGUAUCCACCUGAAAGGAAGAAGCUGAGACACAGAGUACAAUCUAAAGAGUUUACUUGAGCCAAACAGGAUUUCUGGCCUCUCUAGUGUGAGCAGCUGCUCUGUCCUCAAAAUCUCAUUGGCCCCCUACUGCCUCCUCCUAAAGGAUGCUCUCAAGUACCUCCCCAACAUGUAGGGCCAGGUCUGAAAGGGCCUUGAUCCUCGGCUGCUGGUGACUUUUCAAAGCAACUGUCUUUCCCUCCUUACCUUGCCCGUGGUCCGUUGUGCCCUUUCUUUGCUCCUUCUGCCUAAUGCAGUAGUCACAAGACAAGGGAGCUUUCUGUCAACUGGCAGGACUUGAGCACAAGCAGCUGUGUGCCGUGGGGAGGAAAUCUUGUGUUAUUACACACCCAGGACCUCUGAGUCCACACAGCUUAUCGUAUACCUUAUCCACACCUCUGGCUCCACUGGUUUUUGUUUUUGUUUAGAACAUUUCCUUCUCCCUAAAUCUGCCUUGGAUCCUAGGCCCUUUUUUGCAGUAGUGCCUGAUCUCCUGACUCAAAAACCCAUUUUAUGCAAGGGAAAUGGUUGCAGAUUUAGGAAACCGCUUUAAAAAACAGUUAACUAAAAAUUUCAAGGUGCCUAAAAAUCUAAAAUAAAAUCAAAUAUUUUUGUCCAGCAAUCUAUACCAAGAGUGUGCUGUGAGUGGUGAGCCCUCUUGGGAAUGUUGGCAGGAGAAGAUGACUCCACACAUGGGCUGAACUGCAAAUGGAGUGCAUCAGAUGACCACCACCUCCCUAGAGCAGAUCACCCGUGGGCCAGCAGAAGCAAACCAUUUACUACACAUACAACCCCUAAACACAUUGUCGAUAUUGCAGGGUUUUCUACAUUCACAUUAGUAGACCAACCUCUGUUUUAAAAAUGUACUCCUGGCCAGGUGUGGUGGCUCACACUUGUCAUCCCAGCGCUUUGGGAGGCUGAGGCAGGUGGAUCACUUGAGGUCAGGAGUUUGAGGCCAGCCUGGGCAACAUGGUGAAACCCCAUCUCUACCAAAAAAACAAAAAUUACACAGGCGUGGUGGCAUACAUUUGUAAUCCCAGCUACUCAGGAGGCCGGGGCAUGAGAAUCGCUUGAACCCAGGAGGGGGAGGUUGCAGUGAGCCGAGAUCAUGCCACUGUGCUCCAGCCUGGGUGCCAGAGCAAGACUCUGUCUCAAAAAAAAAAAAAGUGCACUC
rnacentral:lncRNA from 10 species